GCCAUGUGACAGAAAAGUCAAGGACCGAGUGAUGCCCAUGAUCAUAUACUUGGUGUAUAAGAAUGAAUUUGCUGCCCCUAAGUGCAAGAAGAAGAUUAAUAGGAACUAUGGCUCCAAUAUCCUCCCAUCUGGACCAGGGAAGAAACCCUUGAAAGCAUUCCCAACCUGGU
rnacentral:lncRNA from 1 species